UGGGGAAUCUUGGACAAUGGGCGCAAGCCUGAUCCAGCCAUGCCGCGUGAGUGACGAAGGUCUUCGGAUUGUAAAGCUCUUUUUGGCGGGGACGAUAAUGACGGUACCCGCAGAAUAAGCCCCGGCUAACUUCGUGCCAGCAGCCGCGGUAAUACGAAGGGGGCUAGCGUUGUUCGGAAUUACUGGGCGUAAAGCGCACGUAGGCGGAUCUAUAAGUCAGGGGUGAAAUCCCGGGGCUCAACCUCGGAACUGCCUUUGAUACUGUAGAUCUCGAGUCCGGAAGAGGUGAGUGGAAUUCCUAGUGUAGAGGUGAAAUUCGUAGAUAUUAGGAAGAACACCAGUGGCGAAGGCGGCUCACUGGUCCGGUACUGACGCUGAGGUGCGAAAGCGUGGGGAGCAAACAGGAUUAGAUACCCAAGUAGUCCCUGAGCGGGCUGGCAAGGCGCAU
rnacentral:rRNA from 1 species